rnacentral:rRNA from 1 species
AGCGAACGCUGGCGGCAGGCUUAACACAUGCAAGUCGAGCGGGCGUAGCAAUACGUCAGCGGCAGACGGGUGAGUAACGCGUGGGAACGUACCUUUUGGUUCGGAACAACACAGGGAAACUUGUGCUAAUACCGGAUAAGCCCUUACGGGGAAAGAUUUAUCGCCGAAAGAUCGGCCCGCGUCUGAUUAGCUAGUUGGUAGGGUAAUGGCCUACCAAGGCGACGAUCAGUAGCUGGUCUGAGAGGAUGAUCAGCCACAUUGGGACUGAGACACGGCCCAAACUCCUACGGGGGGCAGCAGUGGGGAAUAUUGGACAAUGGGGGCAACCCUGUUCCAGCCAUGCCGCGUGAGUGAUGAAGGCCCUAGGGUUGUAAAGCUCUUUUGUGCGGGAAGAUAAUGGCGGUACCGCAAGAAUAAGCCCCGGCUAACUUCGUGCCAGCAGCCGCCGUAA